UCCAGACUCCUACGGGAGGCAGCAGUGGGGGAUAUUGCACAAUGGGGGAAACCCUGAUGCAGCGACGCCGCGUGUGGGAAGACGGUCCUCUGGAUUGUAAACCACUGUCCCCAGGGACGAAGAUGACGGUACCUGGGGAGGAAGCUCCGGCUAACUACGUGCCAGCAGCCGCGGUAAUACGUAGGGAGCAAGCGUUGUCCGGAAUUACUGGGUGUAAAGGGAGCGUAGGCGGGAAUGCAAGUUGGAAGUGAAAGGUAUGGGCUCAACCCAUGAACUGCUUUCAAAACUGUAUUUCUUGAGUGAAGUAGAGGCAGGCGGAAUUCCUAGUGUAGCGGUGAAAUGCGUAGAUAUUAGGAGGAACACCAGUGGCGAAGGCGGCCUGCUGGGCUUUAACUGACGCUGAGGCUCGAAAGCGUGGGUAGCAAACAGGAUUAGAUACCCCGGUA
rnacentral:rRNA from 1 species